GAUGAGAGGGAGCUUGCUCCCUGGAUUAGUGGCGAACGGGUGAGUAACACGUGAGUAACCUGCCCUUGACUCUGGGAUAAGCACUGGAAACGGUGUCUAAUACCGGAUACGAACUUCAGCCGCAUGGCUAGGAGUUGGAAAGAAUUUCGGUCAAGGAUGGACUCGCGGCCUAUCAGCUAGUUGGUGAGGUAAUGGCCCACCAAGGCGACGACGGGUAGCCGGCCUGAGAGGGUGACCGGCCACACUGGGACUGAGACACGGCCCAGACUCCUACGGGAGGCAGCAGUGGGGAAUAUUGCACAAUGGGCGCAAGCCUGAUGCAGCAACGCCGCGUGAGGGACGACGGCCUUCGGGUUGUAAACCUCUUUUAGUAGGGAAGAAGCGUAAAAGUGACGGUACCUGCAGAAAAAGCACCGGCUAACUACGUGCCAGCAGCCGCGGUAAUACGUAGGGUGCAAGCGUUAUCCGGAAUUAUUGGGCGUAAAGAGCUCGUAGGCGGUUUGUCGCGUCUGCUGUGAAAACUGGGGGCUCAACCCCCAGCCUGCAGUGGGUACGGGCAGACUAGAGUGCGGUAGGGGAGAUUGGAAUUCCUGGUGUAGCGGUGGAAUGCGCAGAUAUCAGGAGGAACACCAAUGGCGAAGGCAGAUCUCUGGGCCGUAACUGACGCUGAGGAGCGAAAGCAUGGGGAGCGAACAGGAUUAGAUACCCUGGUAGUCCAUGCCGUAAACGUUGGGAACUAGAUGUAG
rnacentral:rRNA from 1 species